rnacentral:rRNA from 1 species
GAUGAACGCUGGCGGCGUGCCUAACACAUGCAAGUCGAGCGAACAGACGAGGAGCUUGCUCCUCUGACGUUAGCGGCGGACGGGUGAGUAACACGUGGAUAACCUACCUAUAAGACUGGGAUAACUUCGGGAAACCGGAGCUAAUACCGGAUAAUAUAUUGAACCGCAUGGUUCAAUAGUGAAAGACGGUUUUGCUGUCACUUAUAGAUGGAUCCGCGCCGCAUUAGCUAGUUGGUAAGGUAACGGCUUACCAAGGCAACGAUGCGUAGCCGACCUGAGAGGGUGAUCGGCCACACUGGAACUGAGACACGGUCCAGACUCCUACGGGAGGCAGCAGUAGGGAAUCUUCCGCAAAGGGCGAAAGCCUGACGGAGCAACGCCGCGUGAGUGAUGAAGGUCUUCGGAUCGUAAAACUCUGUUAUUAGGGAAGAACAAAUGUGUAAGUAACUAUGCACGUCUUGACGGUACCUAAUCAGAAAGCCACGGCUAACUACGUG